CAGCCCAAUUAGGAGCUGCUAUCCAGAAAUCAGGUGCCUCUGACCAUCACAAACGUUAUGGGACCACGGAGCUGCACUCACAGCUGCUGCCUCUCCCUCUGCCAGAGCUACGCCAGGAAAAACACAGCGAUGGGAACAUUGGAAUUGAGACGCCUCAUCUUCGCUAUCAGCCGGGGAGUGCGUCGUGCUGGGCACGAUGGCUGAGGCUGUGUCAGAGAGCCCACUGCUCCGCUUCCCCUUCAGCUUGUCCUUGAGUUUGCCAAAUGGGGAGCGGGCCUUGUCCUUCAUGGACAGAUCGAACAUGCUGGCUGUCAAGUUGCUCCUCAUGAACUGGAUGUCCACUUCGAUCUCUCCUCUCUCC
rnacentral:lncRNA from 1 species